rnacentral:rRNA from 1 species
CCUACGGGUGGCUGCAGUGAGGAAUAUUGGUCAAUGGACGCAAGUCUGAACCAGCCAUGCCGCGUGAAGGAUGACGGCUCUACGAGUUGUAAACUUCUUUUAUAAGGGAGUAAAGUCAGACACGCGUGUCUGUUUGAAAGUAUCGUAUGAAUAAGGAUCGGCUAACUCCGUGCCAGCAGCCGCGGUAAUACGGAGGAUUCAAGCGUUAUCCGGAUUUAUUGGGUUUAAAGGGUGCGUAGGUGGGCUGUUAAGUUAGUGGUGAAAGUCUGAGGCUCAACCUUGGAAUUGCAUUUGAUACUGGUAGUCUAGAGAGUAGUUGAGGUAGGCGGAAUGUAUGGUGUAGCGGUGAAAUGCUUAGAGAUCAUGAAGAACACCGAUUGCGAAGGCAGCUUACUAAGCUGCCUCUGACGUUGAGGCACGAAAGCGUGGGGAGCAAACAGGAUUAGAUACCCUAGUAGUC